CCUACGGGUGGCAGCAGUGGGGAAUAUUGGACAAUGGGGGGAACCCUGAUCCAGCGACGCCGCGUGAGUGAAGAAGUAUUUCGGUAUGUACAGCUCUAUCAGCAGGGAAGAAAAUGACGGUACCUGACUAAGAAGCCCCGGCUAACUACGUGCCAGCAGCCGCGGUAAUACGUAGGGGGCAAGCGGUAUCCGGGUUUACUGGGGGUAAAGGGAGCGUAGACGGGGCAGCAGAGCUGAUGUGAAAGGUGGGGGCCUAACCCCGGGUCUGCAUUGGAAAGCGUUGAACUGGAGUACAGGAGAGGUAGGCGGAAUUCCUAGUGUAGCGGUGAAAUGCGUAGAUAUUAGGAGGAACACCAGUGGCGAAGGCGGCUUACUGGACUGUAACUGACGUUGAGGCUCGAAAGCGUGGGGAGCAAACAGGAUGAGAUACCCGGGUAGUC
rnacentral:rRNA from 1 species